GUGACAACAUUGACCUUUGCAGGCCCUCAUUCACUUUUUUCUAUCAUCCCACAUUCCCAACAUUCCUGAUGGAGCAGGCCUCACCAAUCACCUCCUCAAUCCAGACAGAGGCCACAAGACUGACCUUUGCUCCGCAAUGGAAAACCACACUCCAGGUGAAGGACAAUCUUCAUGGAGCAGUAAUAUUGAGGGCUUGGCUGUGAUUAGUUAUCAGUGCGGAAGAUGAACUGAUGGAUUGAUGUGGGACAGAUCACCUUCACCUGCUGAAGUUCUACAGGUCAGUCUAUUGUGUGGUGUGUUUGCAGACAAAUACAGCUUCUCAUGUUAGUGGAGGUGGUCCAGGUCAGGCCCUCGGGGUCCCGGGAACAGCGGGACUGCGUUACGGCUCAUCCCACCUGUUGCCUGAAUUGGUAAUAUAUCAAGUCAUUUGUUAAAAAGGAUAGGUCACCCACAACUAAGCACUCUCACUAUGUUAACUCAUUUAACUUCUAUUUGAGUAAUACUGUCAAGCUCCAGACUCUAUUCAAUCUUUAAUUUUUAA